CCAAGAAUUAUAAAUUUGUGCUUCCACAUAUUAUUAUUUCUUCCAUAUUCUACACUUCGGUUGUUUAGCUUGCUCCUAUUUCAACUAAAGUUUUGUGGAUUUUGUGUUUUCUAUUACAAUAGAACUGCGCUUAGCAUUUCAGUAUGUGAGUUUUGUGUUUUUGCUAUCUGAUUUUAGAUUUCCAAGCUGCUAUUUUCUGGGUUUUCCUGAUUUCAUUAUCUAAAUUGGGGGAAAAUUGGUGUAUAUAAUCUUGUUUGGUCUCUAUUUUAGCACUUCAAAGGUGGGGUUUCUUGCCAGAAUAGCAGAGCCCGAUUAAUUUCAUAGGGUUGCUUAUGAGUGCUAUCAAUAAAGUAGUUAAUACAAUAACCCUAUCUUUUUUAUGGGUUUUGUUUUGUGUGUGUUCUCAAUUUUGGGGAAAUUUUGCUUUUAUCUUUAGUUAUAAAAUGAGGGCAUUUGCUGAAUGUGAAGAACUUGAAAGUUCACCAUUUGAAUGGUGUUAUGACUGAAGUGAUACUACAGUUAUAAACUUAUAAUUGCAGUUUUGAUAUCAAUUAGUUAACAUCAUAGUGUUGAAAGAAAUCUUGUGCUUUUAAAGUCCAGUGAACAAAUGUUUUUUUUCUUGAGCAAUAAUGCAAAGUAAAACUUGUCAGUUGAUAUCUAAAUCCAUGUAUAUCUCUCAUUCCACUUUAGUUGCUGCUUCUGUUUAUUUCAAUUUGAUAUUUUCUCUCUGUCUGCUUGUUUUAACUUUAGUUUCACCGUCUCACACUGAUGUAAUGAAAUAUUUUAACUCGUAGUUUGACAUUCAGGAUUUUGAGCUACCUCUAUCGAAAUUCGAUCGACAAGUAUGUUUGACGAUGUUUCUUUUUGCCCUCAAUUCCGAUUUUCCCUUAUCCUAACUCAGCAGUAAUUUACUUUCGUAUGUUCAUUAUUAAAUUUUUCCGUUCUCUUUUGUCCUUCUACAGUAAUUUACUUUCGUAUGUUCAUUAUUAAAAUUUUUUCGUUCUCUUUUGUCCUUCUACAGUAAUCACUAUGCCCCAUAUCAAUCCAUUUUCAACUUUCGGCAAGUUGAUAAUCUACAUAUAUUGGUAGAUUUCUUCUACAUUUUUGUUGGCUAAGCUUUAGGGUACAGUCAACUUAACUAGCUAACAUGUGCUUAUCUUUCUAUGGUAAAAAUUCUUCUUCUAUAACGAUGUUAGAUCAUACUAUCUACUUACUUUAUCCCCCAUGAGCAUUACAAGUGUGCGUGAUUUUAGUUGAUUAAGCUCUUGUGAAAUACAUAGGAAUAGAGUUGAGAGUUCUUCUGUUAGAUAAGCUUUAUGUGAAUACUUUAUAGUUUGCUUCAGGUUUGGGAAAAAUCUGCAUUCUUUAGAAUUAUUCUCAAGUGGAAUUUAAGAUAGACUAGGUAGAAGUAAGCAGACCUUCAUAUUAAAUAAAAAAAAGGGCAGCCCGGUGCACUAAAGCUACCGCUAUGUGCGGUGUCCGGGAAGGGCCCACCAUAAGGAUGUAUCGUACGCAGCCUUACCUUGCAUUUCUGCCAGAGGCUGUUUCCAAGGCUUGAACCCGUGACCUUCUGGUCACAUGACAGCAACUUUACCAGCUACUCUAGGGCUCCCCUUCGACCUUCAUAUUAAAUAUUUUAAUAUUUUAGAUUUAAUAUUUCUGUAAGCAGACCUUAUCCUAGGUCAGAAGUAGAGAGACUAUUCCGAUAGACCUUCAUAUUAAAUAUUUUAAUAAUUCAGAUUUCGCUGAACCAAAGUGAUUUACAUAUUCUAUCACAUUCCACUGGCAUGCUAAUUUUCCGUUUGGAGAUGAUAUUGCCAAGUUGCAUUAUUUGAUGUCACUCUUUUCUCUUUUGGCUUUUUGAACUAAGGAACUCAUUUAUCAAUUUAAUUCUGAGGAGUAUCUAAACAAUUCUGAAGACUUUCCUUCUGGGUUACAUUGACAGGUGUGAACUUAACAAUCUGCAGUUAUUCGUUUCAUAGUUCUAGCUAGAGGAAACUCAAAUAGAAGCUAUCAUCUUCGGUAUAGAUAUCACACACUAUGAAGACAUAUUUGUUCCUUUCCAAAAAUAUUUGGUGUCAAUGGCAAAUGUGCGAGAAUCAACCAAGAUAUCUGGAAUUCCUCUUCAUGAUUUCACCUGGAUGAUCGAUCGAAGCACAAUUGUCGAACCAAUAGAAAUGGUUACACCCCCUGAACAGCCAUUACUGCCACCAACAAAGCUAAAUGUUGCACCAUUUGAUAGUUUUGAUUAUCAGGGCUCUGAAUUUGAUAUUCUUGCCAUUGUCAUAAACGGCAGCCGUCCAUCAUAUACCUCAAAUGGAAGCCGAAUCCAAGGGUUCAUUAUAAUCGAUCAUCAGAGCUGACACUUUGGGGGAAUUCAUAGACCUCUACGGAAAUAAACUUUUCACACAUGUGAAACAAUUUAAAGAUUUUCCAGCAAUCCUUGCCAAAAAAGUGGGCAAACCAAAAUUGUCUUCAUCUUCAGGGCGAACGAAAUGGAACCACUACUUAACUCAUACACAACAAAAAGCACAACAGCUACAGGCUUUCUUCUGUUUGUUCCAUUUGAAGAACACAUCAUACUUAUUGCCAAUAUCCAUGAAUCACCUUCGCACUUUCUAAGGAACUGGUCGCUGAUAAAAUUCUAUUGCACAAUCUAUCGUCGACCAACACAUCUUAAAUCUAGGUAUAUAUAUUUCUUCAUUUUACCAAAUAUCUACUUACGAAUUCAUAAUGAUCAACAUGUACAAGUGGUGAAAUAAAUUAUUUUUGCCAAUUUGACGUUACCAUUCGAGAUGAUACUGGUUCUACAAUAGCAACAAUUUCAGAAAAAAUUGGAGAAGAGCUCCUACGUCUCACUGCAGCCGAAAUUUAUGACAUACCUUUCACCAAGAAUCAAUUGUUACCACUCUUACCUGUGCAACACAAAUUGCGCGGGAAGAUAUUUACUCUCCAAGUAAAGAGGCUUGGAGAGACCGUACGCAAAAAAUCAAGAUACAUCUUCAGUGAAAUUGUUCAUCAUGUCAAUCAUCGAUAAAGACAUCGCUAACAAUCCACCAAUGCCGACCGCUGCACCAGCUACCAGAAAGCAGUAAACGUAAGCUCAAACAGAUUAUGACAAAGGAAGACUGAAAGGCCCCGUUUGGUCAUGGCCCCGUUUGGUCCGGAGUUGAAAAUAGAGUUGGAGUUGAUUGUGACUGACUAUUAUUUCUUGAUUUUGGUGUCAUUAAAAUCUCUGUUGUUUUGAUUGUGAUGUUUUCAUUGCGAAUACUUUGGAAUUAUUACGCAAAAUGUGUAGAGACGAUGGAUUUCAGGAUGUUGUUUGGGAAAAUUCCGGAAAGAAAUGUUGUUUCUUGAAAUGUGUUUUCUUGUUAUAUCUCGAAGAGAGAAUUAUCGAUUACCCCCUGAACUCUGACUAGUCCUAAGUACCCCCAAACUUGUUUUUUUGGUAUGUCGCGUAACCCCUUUACGCUGAUGUGGUAAAAUGUUUUACGAGCAAUCAAAUUUUAAACCUAAGGGUGUCUACACUAGAGACUCGAUUAAAUGAUCUAGAACAAAGAUUAACCAUUCUAGAAAAAGGAAAAACAAAAGUCACCAUAGAAGAAACGGAUACACAAGAAGCGGUACAUUUAGAAAAGUUAGAAGCAGAACUCUUUUCCAUAUCGCGUGAUGGAGGUAUUUUUUAUGUCAAAUCAAUAUUUUUAAUGAUAAAAAAAUGAAAAAAUUCAUUUUCCUUCAAUUUUUUCAAAAAAUUCAAUUAUCCCUCUCCCUAUUUAUU